AUGAACGCUGGCGGCGUGCUUAACACAUGCAAGUCGAACGGAGAGCGUAUGACAGAGGAUUCGUCCAAUGGAAUACGUUUCUUAGUGGCGGACGGGUGAGUAACGCGUGAGGAACCUGCCUCGGAGUGGGGAAUAACACAACGAAAGCUGUGCUAAUACCGCAUGAUGCAGCUGGGUCGCAUGACUCUGGCUGCCAAAGAUUUAUCGCUCUGAGAUGGCCUCGCGUCUGAUUAGCUGGUUGGCGGGGUAACGGCCCACCAAGGCGACGAUCAGUAGCCGGACUGAGAGGUUGGCCGGCCACAUUGGGACUGAGACACGGCCCAGACUCCUACGGGAGGCAGCAGUGGGGAAUAUUGGGCAAUGGGCGCAAGCCUGACCCAGCAACGCCGCGUGAAGGAAGAAGGCCCUCGGGUUGUAAACUUCUUUUGUCAGGGACGAAGCAAGUGACGGUACCUGACGAAUAAGCCACGGCUAACUACGUGCC
rnacentral:rRNA from 1 species